rnacentral:rRNA from 1 species
UUGACCUCGGAUCAGGUAGGGAUACCCGCUGAACUUAAGCAUAUCAAUAAGCGGAGGAAAAGAAACCAACAGGGAUUGCCCCAGUAACGGCGAGUGAAGCGGCAAGAGCUCAAAUUUGAAAGCUGGCUCCUUCGGGGUCCGCAUUGUAAUUUGCAGAGGAUGCUUCGGGAGCGGUCCCCAUCUAAGUGCCCUGGAACGGGACGUCAUAGAGGGUGAAAAUCCCGUAUGGGAUGGGGUGUCCGCGCCCAUGUGAAGCUCCUUCGACGAGUCGAGUUGUUUGGGAAUGCAGCUCUAAAUGGGUGGUAAAUUUCAUCUAAAGCUAAAUAUUGGCCGGAGACCGAUAGCGCACAAGUAGAGUGAUCGAAAGAUGAAAAGCACUUUGAAAAGAGAGUUAAAAAGCACGUGAAAUUGUUGAAAGGGAAGCGCUUGCGAUCAGACUCGCUCGCGGGGUUCAGCCGGCAUUCGUGCCGGUGUACUUCCCCGCGGGCGGGCCAGCGUCGGUUUGGGCGGUCGGUCAAAGGCCCUCGGAAGGUAACGCCCCCUCGGGGGCGUCUUAUAGCCGAGGGUGCAAUGCGACCUGCCUGGACCGAGGAACGCGCUU